UACGAAGGGGGCUAGCGUUGUUCGGAUUUACUGGGCGUAAAGCGCACGUAGGCGGAUCGUUAAGUCGGGGGUGAAAUCCUGGAGCUCAACUCCAGAACUGCCUUCGAUACUGGCGAUCUUGAGUCCGGAAGAGGUGAGUGGAAUUCCUAGUGUAGAGGUGGAAUUCGUAGAUAUUAGGAAGAACACCAGUGGCGAAGGCGGCUCACUGGUCCGGUACUGACGCUGAGGUGCGAAAGCGUGGGGAGCAAACAGGG
rnacentral:rRNA from 1 species